rnacentral:tRNA from 1 species
GGAGAGGUGCCGGAGUGGUCGAACGGGCCGGUCUCGAAAACCGGUGUGCCCUUAUGGGUACCGGGGGUUCGAAUCCCCCCCUCUCCGC